AUAGCGUAUAUUAAAGUUGUUGCAGUUAAAAAGCUCGUAGUUGAACUUCAGACCUGGCUGGAUGGUCUGCCUAACGGUAUGUACUGUCCGGCUGGGCCUUACCUCUUGGUGAGCCGGCAUGCCCUUCACUGGGUGUGUCGGGGAACCAGGACUUUUACCUUGAGAAAAUUAGAGUGCUCAAAGCAGGCUUAUGCUCGAAUACAUUAGCAUGGAAUAAUAAAAUAGGACGUGCGGUUCUAUUUUGUUGGUUUCUAGAGUCGCCGUAAUGAUUAAUAGGGAUAGUUGGGGGCAUUAGUAUUCAGUUGCUAGAGGUGAAAUUCUUGGAUUUACUGAAGACUAACUACUG
rnacentral:rRNA from 1 species